GCCCUGGUGGUGUAAAUGGCUAAGCAUUAGGCUGCUAACCCAAAGGUUGAUGGUUAAAACCCAUUCAGUGGCU
rnacentral:tRNA from 1 species